rnacentral:rRNA from 1 species
AUGGAUUUGAAGACACUGCAAAACGAAUCCAGUGUGUUCGAACUCAAACACCUAGAGAUUCAAUCAGCCGGAUACAAACAGAGAAUAGAUCAAAUCAGACCACAGAGUACACACCCUAGAACUAGCCGUGAGUACAAGAUUCGAUCCCAGAUUACACCGCAAACCACACGCAUCAGACAAAAGAGGAUAGAUCUGAGAAUAAAAUCCUACACAGAACUUACAAUACAUAUGAGGAUCCAGGCAAAAACGGACAAACGUACCGAAUCACGAAGACUAGCGAAGUCGCCGGGGUAG